rnacentral:rRNA from 1 species
UACGUAUGGGCGAGCGUUGUUCGGAAUUAUUGGGUGUAAAGGGCGUCUAGGCGGGAGAUUAAGUUAGAUGUGAAAGGCGUGGCUUAAACCCACGAAUUGCAUCUAAAACUGGUUUUCUUGAGUUCGGGAGAGGAGAGCGGAAUUCUUGGUGUAGCGGUGAAAUGCGUAGAUAUCAAGAAGAACACCAGUGGCGAAGGCGGCUCUCUGGCCUAGAACUGACGCUGAAGCGCGAAAGCGUGGGUAGCGAAACGGGAUUAGAUACCCGCGUAGUCCCUGAG